rnacentral:rRNA from 1 species
GGAUUAGAUACCCUGGUAGUCCACACUGUAAACGCUGUCUACUAGCUGUUUGUGUGAUUUAUCACGUGGGUAGCGCAGCUAACGCGAUAAGUAGACCGCCUGGGGAGUACGGCCGCAAGGUUAAAACUCAAAUGAAUUGACGGGGGCCCGCACAAGCGGUGGAGCAUGUGGUUUAAUUCGAUGCAACGCGAAGAACCUUACCAUCCCUUGACAUACUCAGAAGGUUGAAGAGAUUCGACUGUGCCUUCGGGAACUGAGAUACAGGUGCUGCAUGGCUGUCGUCAGCUCGUGCCG